GGUUCAAGCUGCUGCUGCUGGUGUAAUGAUGUGGGGGAUGUAUUCUUGGCACUUUUGGCCCCUUAGUACCAAUUGAGCAUUGUUUAAACAAAAACUUUAACUGCAUAGUCCCAAACUAUGUGCAAAAUUAUUAAUAUAAGCUAAUUAUUAACAUAAGCACAAGUUAAAACUAACCAUUUUGAUAUUCCCCUAAUAAUUUAUAGCAUAACAACAUUGUAGUCUCUUUAUACAGGUGGGAGGUUUAUACUGUAUGUAUUUUCUUUUACCUUUUUGGGGACUAAAGCGUGUAGCACAUGUUAUGGCAUCUGUUUAAUUUGGAUGCUUCUACCAGGUUCAUUUUGUGCCAAAUGUUUAAUUGGAAACAGUCUUUGAUGUCAACAACAGAAGAUAUGGGGAACCUUUUUCUUCACUGUUAACAUUUGCUUACCACGUAUGUGUGUUUGGCAGGUGACGUCAGCAUAGCAUUCUGUCUGUUUAUCUGCACUCAGGUAUGUGUGUUUGUGUGUGUGUGUGUGUGUGUGUGUGUGUGUGUGUGUGUGUGUGGCCUCUACACUGACACUCUCACCAUUGGAGCCAAAAUGCCAGAACCCCUGUUAAUCUUAUAAUCACAAGUAAGUCUCUUAACUCCAGUCCUGAUAAUCUUAUUAUACAGAGCAUCGAGGGAGAUUCCCUUUUUUGGGAAGCGACAGGUGCACACUGAAGGAGGCAUUAUUGAUCAAUUAUAGGCCUCUUUUCAAUUAAAACAACUAUGCAGCCAAUAAAUGACUAGAGUGAAAUGUGACAGAUGCUUUUCUAUUGUAAGUGUAUCUGCUGCCGUGGAUCAGUGUGCCUGGCUCUGACAGAUCAGGCGGAGGAGGGGUGGCUAAGACGGAGCGCUCCCAGUGACAUCAGGCUUUAUCUGCUCACAGCUCUCUGACGCCAACCCAGCCAGUUCUCACGUGUCGAGGAGAGGAGAUGAUUAACACCGGCUGCUUUAUUGCGUGCACACUUACGCACAAACGCUCACACGUAGUCAGACAUGCUGAUGCAAACAAACACACCUCUGCUGGAUGCAGCAUCUCUGAGUCUGGGACGACAGACAGCAGCGCACCAAAUUUUAUUAAACAGAGGACAGAAGACUUAUUCAAGCAAUUAAUUUUAUUUACAUGAAAAGGGAUAACCCACCAAAAAAAAAAUGAAAUCUCUUAAGCAAAAAUGUAUUAAUGGCUUAAUUGUUUUUCCUAGGCAGUGAUGAGAUUAAAAUGAAAAUGCCUUCUGCUUUUGUAAUAUUUCUCAUGAAAAUUAUACAUGUAUACCGUUUGAACAUAUGGAUUGUUAGGGUUUGUUUGUUUUUGAAAGAAGUCUCUUACGUUCACAGAGACUGAAUAGAAAUACAGUAAAAACAGUAUAAUACUGUUAGACUAAUUUAUUCAUGUGAUGAUAAAGUUGAAGCAUCAUUACUCACAUGACACUAUGCUGAUCUGCUCCAGUAUAAAACAGUUGUGCUGCUUAAUAUUUCUUUUGUGAAAACCUUUCCUUUUUUUCAGUACUCUUUAAUGAACACAAAGUUCAAAAGAACAGCGUAUACUUGAAAUCGAAAUCUUUAGUAACAUCAUAAAUGCCAUAACUUUCACUUUUGGUCUUUUAAAUGCAAAACAAACAAAUAUAAAAAUAAACUCACCGACCCCAGAUUUUCUAGAGGUUCAUUUAGAAUCUGAUUCAAAUUUUGUCAGAUUUGCCAGAAUACCAUUCAGCAUAAAUACAUAUGUUACCAAGUAACUGUUUCUAGUCCAUUUGAAGGUAAUAUUUUCCUCAUUAAGAACCAAAGGUAAAUAAUAUCUUCCUAUUAGUAAAAAACCACAUAUCAGCUAACAAAUUCAUUAAAUUGACGCUUUAAGGAAAAACACCUGAGACAAAGUUGGCUAUUAAAUUGACUAUUGAUGUGAAGAUGCUAUAA